rnacentral:miRNA from 1 species
UGUCUCCGGCCAUGCCCACUUCUAC